AACGAACGCUGGCGGCAGGCCUAACACGUGCAAGUCGAACGCCCUGGCAACAGGGAGUGGCAGACGGGUGAGUAACGCGUGGGAACGUGCCCUUCGGUUCGGAAUAACUCAGGGAAACUUGAGCUAAUACCGAAUACGUGCGAGAGCAGAAAGAUUUAUCGCCGAAGGAUCGGCCCGCGUCCGAUUAGCUAGUUGGUGAGGUAAUGGCUCACCACGGCGACGAUCGGUAGCUGGUCUGAGAGGAUGGUCAGCCACACUGGGACUGGGACGCGGCACAGACUCCUACGGGAGGCGGCAGUGGGGAAUAUUGGACAAUGGGCGCAAGCCUGAUCCAGCCAUGCCGCGUGAGUGAUGAAGGCCCUAGGGUUGUAAAGCUCUUUCGCCAGGGACGAUGAUGACGGUACCUGGAUAAGAAGCCCCGGCUAACUUCGUGCCAGCCGCCGCCGUAA
rnacentral:rRNA from 1 species